rnacentral:rRNA from 1 species
GAUGAACGCUGGCGGCGUGCCUAAUACAUGCAAGUCGAGCGAACAGACGAGGAGCUUGCUCCUCUGACGUUAGCGGCGGACGGGUGAGUAACACGUGGAUAACCUACCUAUAAGACUGGGAUAACUUCGGGAAACCGGAGCUAAUACCGGAUAAUAUAUUGAACCGCAUGGUUCAAUAGUGAAAGACGGUUUUGCUGUCACUUAUAGAUGGAUCCGCGCCGCAUUAGCUAGUUGGUAAGGUAACGGCUUACCAAGGCAACGAUGCGUAGCCGACCUGAGAGGGUGAUCAGCCACACUGGAACUGAGACACGGUCCAGACUCCUACGGGAGGCAGCAGUAGGGAAUAUUCCGCAAUGGGCGAAAGCCUGACGGAGCAACGCCGCGUGAGUGAAGAAGGUCUUCGGAUCGUAAAACUCUGUUAUUAGGGAAGAACAAAUGUGUAAGUAACUAUGCACGUCUUGACGGUACCUAAUCAGAAAGCCACGGCUAACUACGUG